UCCUCCGCCACAUCCCGCGCGCCAUGGAAACCGCGUUAGCCUCCACCCCCCUCCACUCCCCUAAAUUCAUUUGUCCCCCCUCUCCGAGGACUCGACUGAAUGGUCCCCCGCGCGACUCCGAGCUCACCAUUGAUGACUUGUGUCAGAGCUGACAAAUCGACAUGGCCCUGCAUCAAAGAUCCCACCUCAUGGGCAAUGGCUUCUAUGCCCUGCCUCACUGCUCUGUGACCACCCUAGAGCUGAUGGAAUCUCAUUCCAUCUCUGUGUACCUCGCUGGUGCCUGCCCUGCUUUCUAUUAGCUGCUCAACUUUGGAAUGCUGAAACCAGUGCGGAGAAAGGAGCCAGGGCAGAGGGAGAGAGUUUACACGUCCCCCCAAAGAAGUGGGGCACCCAUCUGUCUUUUCUCC